GUUCCGUUAAUCAAGACGAAAGUUAGAGGAUCGAAGGCGAUCAGAUACCGCCCUAGUUCUAACUGUAACUAUGCUGACCAGCUAUCUGCCGGCGUUAUUCCAUGACUCGGCAGGCCGCUUCCGGGAAACCAGAGUUUCUGAGUUCCAGGGGAAGUAUGGUUGCAAAUCUGAAACUUAAAGGAAUUGACGGAAGGGCACCACAAGGAGUGGAGCCUGUGGCUUAAUUUGACUCAACACGGGAAACUUUACCAGGCCCAGACAGUAGAAUGAUUGACAGAUUGAAAGCUCUUUCUCAAUUUUAUUGGUUGGUGGUGCAUGGCCGUUCUUAGUUGGUGGAGUGAUUUGUCUGGUUUAU
rnacentral:rRNA from 1 species